CCAACUAAAAUUGACACGAACAAUACAGGCAUGUAUUAUCUCACAUCGCAAACCGGAAGUGCCCCAGUAUCAUCAUUGGGGGCCCCGGAUCUUUCCUUCCUUCUGUUCUUCCAUCCUCAGCAGACUGGCUUUCACCCUCAGGUUGUGCUCCAUGGUCAUGGGAUGACUGCCACAGCUGCGGGCAUCAUUCUCUCACAACCAUGGUCCAAGGAGGAAAAGGUCCAUGUGCAAGGGGCUGAGGACAGCUGCCAGCCAAAACCCAUCAAAGAACUGAGACCCACAGUCCAACAGCUGCUGAGGAACUGAAUUCCCAUAACCAUAUGAGUUUAAAGGCAGGCCCUGCUUCAGCCGAGCCUUCAGAUGAGACCUCUACGCUGGCUGAUCCCUUGACUGCUGCCUUGUAAACCAGAGAAUGCAUUUAAGCCCAUAUCCAGGUUCCUGACCCACAGAAACUCUGAGGUAAUAAAUGUGUUAUUGUAAGCUGCCAAACUUUGGGAUAAUUUGUUAUGCAAACAACAGAUGACUAAUACAACUGUUUAAUUUUCUCUUAAAUUUAUAC
ensembl:lncRNA